CCACCUGUAAGCGAUCUGACAUGAACCAAGUGGAUAUUAUGGACGUAGUAUAAUUUUUUUUAACGACACACUUCAGUCUUUGUGUAAGCCACACCGAUCCUUAGUAGAAUGAGUAUCCCUGACUGUGGGCUUUGGAGGCGGGUUAUCCCGGGAUGUUGUCUUUGGAGUUGAACCUUGUUCUACAAACGCUCUCCCCAGUGCAUGCUCGCCAACAGCGACACCGCGAAGCCCUAAAGGGAAGGCUUGCUUUAUUUGACUUUCCCUUCUCAUUCGACGACAGCAUUUCCAAGACUGCUAUGACGUCUCGCAGGUGGUUCCACCCCAACAUCACCGGAAUCGAGGCAGAGCAGCUCCUCUUGACCCGGGGGGUCCAUGGCAGUUUCCUAGCCCGGCCGAGCAAGAGCAACCCGGGAGAUUUUACUCUCUCUAUCAGGCGGAACAAUGAGGUCACCCACAUUAAGAUCCAGAAUUCAGGGGACUACUACGACCUGUAUGGAGGGGAGAAGUUUGCCACGCUGGCAGAGCUGGUGCAGUACUACACAGAGCAGCAUGACCUUCUCAGAGAGAGGAACGGAGACGUCAUCGAGCUCAAGUACCCACUCAACUGUAAGGACCCAACCUCCGAGAGGUGGUACCACGGGCACCUCUCUGGGCGCGACGCUGAGAAGCUGCUCAUGGACAAGGGCAAGCCUGGCAGUUUCCUGGUACGGGAGAGCCAGAGCAAACCAGGUGACUUUGUGCUCUCUGUCCUCACCAACGAGGAGAAGCACGAGAACCUAGACCGCAAGACCAAGGUCACCCAUGUCAUGAUUCGCUACCAGCAGGAUGGGAAGUAUGACGUAGGUGGAGGAGAGAGGUUUGACACGCUGGCUGACCUGGUGGAUCACUACAAGAAGAACCCCAUGGUGGAGAAGAGUGGAAUUGUUGUUCACCUCAAACAGCCCUUCAAUGCCACCAGGAUAAAUGCAGCCAACAUUGAGAACAGGGUGAAGGAACUAAACAAAGUGGCAGACAACUCAGAGAAGCCCAAACAGGGAUUCUGGGAAGAGUUUGAGGUGCUACAGCAGCAGGAGUGUAAGCUCCUCUACCCCAGGAAAGAAGGGCAGAGAGCAGAGAACAAGAGUAAAAACAGAUACAAGAACAUCCUCCCUUUUGACACCACACGGGUGGAGAUCAGGGAAGCAGACACAGAUGUGCCUGGCUCCGACUACAUCAACGCCAACUACAUCAGAGUGAGUUCUGGAAGUAGUAUGCAUGAAGAGGGCCGCCACGUGGAGGAGGGCAAGGUGUUCAUCGCCACCCAGGGCUGCCUUCAGAACACGGUGGUGGACUUCUGGAAGAUGGUCUACCAGGAAAACACACACGUCAUUGUCAUGACCACCAAGGAGAUGGAGAGAGGACGGAACAAGUGUGUGCGUUACUGGCCCGACCUUAACGCCACUAAGGAGUUUGGGAAAGUGAGUGUGAAGAACGUGGAGGAGUGUCCGGCUCAGGACUACAUCCUAAGGGAAUUGGAGGUGACGCGUUUGGACAGGAGGGAGCUGGUGCGGUACAUCUGGCACUACCAGUAUCUGAGCUGGCCUGACCAUGGCGUGCCCAACGAGCCUGGGGGAGUGCUCAGCUUCCUGGAGCAGGUCAACCGCACGCAGAGUGCCAUUCCAGACACCGGACCAAUUGUGGUCCACUGCAGUGCAGGAAUCGGGAGAACAGGCACCAUAAUUGUCAUUGACAUUCUCAUUGACAUCAUCAACAGACAAGGAUUAGACUGUGACAUCGACAUCCCUAAGACCAUCCAGAGGGUUCGUCAGCAGCGGUCAGGCAUGGUGCAGACGGAGGCCCAGUAUAAGUUCAUCUACAUGGCCGUCCAGCAGUACAUUGACACGGCACAGAAGAGACUGGAGGAGGAGCAGAGGAACAAAACCAAGGAGAGGGAGUACUCCAAUAUCAAAUACCCCCAGAUGACCAACGCCCGGUCAAAACCCAACAUGACCUGUGUGUCACGCUCCUCCUCUGUGGUGACGGAUGACAACCCGUCCAGCGUGUAUGAGAACUUAAACAUCAAGAACCCAAAGACCUCCGGGAGCAGCAGUAAAACCAGGAGGUGAAGUCCAGCCACGGACCUCUGCCUCUCUCAACCUCUCUGUCCUCAUUGGUUGUGGGCCUGGGAUAUAUCCUCUGCUACCCUGUGAGCGGGCGCAGAUGGAGAGAUGUUAGUUUCAACAGAGGUGCCUCUUCGCCAUCGCCUGAUUCAUGGGGGACCUGUGGAGCUCUGGCCCCGGACCCCCUGGCGGUGGACCCUAUCUGGGAUGAAGGUGGAGGUCCUGACACCUCCUAGUCUCUCCCCUUCUGCUGCCCUGCUGGCUGUCUGGAGCAUCCCCCCUCCACGGAGAGAGGGGUGUAAGCGCAGGGCUCUUGUCCUUCUAUCUUCAUCCCCCAUCCCCUAUCUCUCUCUCUCUCUCUCUAUGACCUCCACAUGACUUCAUGUCUCUUCUACAGGCUCUACCGUUUACUGACAGUGCCUUGUCUACAGACAUGUCUGUAACCCCCUUCCUCCUCCCACAGUUGUUCCAUCUCACCACCCAAAUCCCCUAUCUAUCAACCAUCCCACCAGCCCAACAAAUGUCCUUUGCUUAUUUCUGUUGACUCAAACUAAAUCGAGAAAAGAAACAAACCAUUGUGUACUCUUGUGCGAUAUCAAUGUUUAAGUGAUGCUUUUCUCUGUCGUGUUCUGUCGUGAGGUGGAUGGGACAAGAAAGAUUGAGAAGAUUUCUCUUCUCGCUCUCAGAAUUUGCUCCUCUCUCUCUCUCUCUCUCUCUCUCUCUCUCUCUCUCUCUCUCUCUCUCUCUCUCUCUCUGCUGGCUCUCAUCUACUUGAAUCAAAGACUUCAGCAAUGUUCUAUUCUUGCUAGCAGCAGUCAUUACUGCAGUGUUGAGCGAUUUUACCACGUGAGGCACUGGCGCAGACAAGCUUACUCAACCCUCUCUCAUACCUUCAUUUUGAAAGUCGAGGAAAGUCAGGGUAUUCGCAAUGGCCCUUUGUCAGUGAGUUGGGGUAAAAAAAACUCACCAACUCACUGACAAAGGGAUUUUCCAUUUGCCACAAAGAUAUUUUCCAUUUCUGUACAGGGAAGUAUUUCUUCAAUAUAAUUUGAGAUGUACUUGUUUGUCCCACCUGUCCCACCGAUGAUUUCUUGUGCCAAUAGAAGACGUGCAUGCUCAUCUACUUUAGGGAUUCCACCAUUACAGUUGCUGAGCGCCUAUUCAGUCAAUAUUAACAAGCUCCUCUCCAGACUUACUCAUGAAAUGUUUCUAUGUAUUUCGUUUGAAUCUGUGUCCUUUCAAUGGAUUCGUGUUUAUUUUAUUGUUAUUAUUGGUGUGAUUCUGUAAUGAAAAAGCGGUGCGGUAUUGCCUCCAUAGGAAGAAUGAUCCAAUUCCAUAGUUAUGAAUUGAAAAAAAAGCACAAUUUUCUGCCCUGCACUUGCUCUGCAGAUCCUGGUUUAUAUGCGGGAAAUUAACAUAGUUUGAGGUCAACGUUGGCCUCAGAGAAAGUCUGCAAAGGUUUUCAUCCUAAUCGAAUGGCAUAAUAAGCAGGGUUAAACAUCUGCCAAGCGAGAGAUAGGAGAAGAUGGGAGAGGACAGGAGAGGAGUCAGGAUGCUAGCCUGGCUCACUGACGUGGGCUGCUAUCGCUGAAGUCUUUAGCCAAACAUUACUGGGCCAGAUGGCCUACAGCCCAAGAAUAAAUAAUAGAUUUAUCUCCAAAAAGCAAUCUACAAAAUGGCUAUAAUCCAGGCUUGAUGAUGGUGGGAGUAAAAACCGACGUUACUGAUGUCAUAAACAGGGAGGCGCCGCACAGCAAAGAGCCUUCUGUAAUAUAUUUUUAAAUAUACAUGUACAUCAUGGGCAGUGGCUUCUUUCUAACUAUUCUUAGCAUUUUGCAUAAAAAUCUAAUGUUGAAGGUGUUCACACUGGAUUUAGCCAGCGGCACAUUGAUGUCAUCCUUUUGAACAAGCCGGUUGUUUGGCUGCAUAGAGGUUGUGUUACCUGCUGUGUGAGUCGGGCUGUACUUGUACAUGGUUCAGGCCUUUUUAACUAAGGCUUGGCAGCACAUACGAGGGCCGCAUUUGCUACAUCGUCUCUUGCUCGUCCUAACACCAAUGCAGUAACUUUCAGUAAUACUGAAAGUAUGGAUUUUCAGUAUUUCCCUUUUAGCCAAAAUGUCUGUAUUUCAGAAAGCUAAAUCAGUCCUAGUAGGAUAUGUCAUUCUCAAUAUUGUAUUCAUGCUACAUUGAGCUCCAAAACUAUUGGGACAGUGUCACACUAUUUGUUGUUUUGGCUCUCUACACCAGCACUUUUAACCAUGACUAUGAUUAGGGGCGGCAGCGUAGCCUAGUGGUUAGAGCGUUGGACUAGUAACCGAAAGGUUGCGAGUUCAAACCCCCGAGCUGACAAGGUACAAAUCUGUUGUUCUGCCCCUGAACAGGCAGUUAACCCACUGUUCCCAGGCCGUCAUUGAAAAUAAGAA